rnacentral:rRNA from 1 species
GAGUUUGAUCGUGGCUCAGGACGAACGCUGGCGGCGUGCUUAACACAUGCAAGUCGAACGAGAAUCUGCGGAAAGAGGAUCCGUCCAAUUGAAGCAGAGGACAGUGGCGGACGGGUGAGUAACGCGUGAGGAACCUGCCUUUCAGAGGGGGACAACAGUUGGAAACGACUGCUAAUACCGCAUAACGCGUAGAGAUCGCAUGGUCUUUACGCCAAAGAUUUAUCGCUGAAAGAUGGCCUCGCGUCUGAUUAGCUAGUUGGUGAGGUAACGGCCCACCAAGGCGACGAUCAGUAGCCGGACUGAGAGGUUGAACGGCCACAUUGGGACUGAGAUACGGCCCAGACUCCUACGGGAGGCAGCAGUGGGGAAUAUUGGGCAAUGGGCGCAAGCCUGACCCAGCAACGCCGCGUGAAGG